CAAAAAUCUGCCAUUAGCAUUGGAAGGAAUUGUAACUGAGCCCCCAUCUUGCCUGUGUCACUCUUGAAACCCAGCUGCCAUGCUAUGAGUAAGUCCAAUUAGCAAAAGUCCCUGAUAGAGAGGAUUUGAGGCCUGCUGACAGCCUUGACUGAGAUUUCAGCCAACACCCAAUAUCAAUUUUGCUAACCGGGAAUGAUCUUACAUCCAUGGAUGUGACUGUCUGAGCAAGUGGAAGAAGCCAUGGUAUAACACAGAUUAAAUUAUCUCAGUGAUGAUGGUAAUCAUUUCCAAAAGAAGGUAGUGGUCCUCUUCCCUGAACUGUAAG
rnacentral:lncRNA from 10 species